GGGCCCGCACAAGCGGUGGAGCAUGUGGUUUAAUUCGAUGCAACGCGAAGAACCUUACCUACUCUUGACAUCCAGAGAAGCCAGCGGAGACGCAGGUGUGCCUUCGGGAACUCUGAGACAGGUGCUGCAUGGCUGUCGUCAGCUCGUGUUGUGAAAUGUUGGUUAAGUCCCGCAACGAGCGCAACCCUUAUCCUUGUUUGCCAGCACGUAAUGGUGGGAACUCCAGGGAGACUGCCGGUGAUAAACCGGAGGAAGGUGGGGACGACGUCAAGUCAUCAUGGCCCUUACGAGUAGGGCUACACACGUGCUACAAUGGCGCAUACAGAGGGCAGCAAGCUAGCGAUAGUGAG
rnacentral:rRNA from 1 species